rnacentral:tRNA from 1 species
UGACACAGUGGUUAAAGUGAUCAGCUGCUAACUGAAAGGUUGGUGGUUUGAAUCCACC